rnacentral:rRNA from 1 species
AGUGAACGCUGGCGGUAGGCCUAACACAUGCAAGUCGAACGGCAGCACAGUAAGAGCUUGCUCUUACGGGUGGCGAGUGGCGGACGGGUGAGGAAUACAUCGGAAUCUACUUUUUCGUGGGGGAUAACGUAGGGAAACUUACGCUAAUACCGCAUACGACCUACGGGUGAAAGCAGGGGAUCUUCGGACCUUGCGCGAUUGAAUGAGCCGAUGUCGGAUUAGCUAGUUGGCGGGGUAAAGGCCCACCAAGGCGACGAUCCGUAGCUGGUCUGAGAGGAUGAUCAGCCACACUGGAACUGGGACACGGUCCAGACUCCUGCGGGAGGCAGCAGUGGGGAAUGUUGGACAAUGGGCGCAAGCCUGAUCCAGCCAUACCGCGUGGGUGAAGAAGGCCUUCGGGUUGUAAAGCCCUUUUGUUGGGAAAGAAAAGCAGCAGGUUAAUACCCCGCUGUUCUGACGGUACCCAAAGAAUAAGCACCGGCUAACUUCGUG